CCGGCCUCCGUCGCUAGGGACGCGGCAGCCGGGCAACCGCGAUGGGCCCGGAAGAGGGGUCGACGCCGGUGGACAACGUGGUCACUCAGUUCAGCACCUAUGAGGACUUCCUGGACUCGCAGAUCACCACGGUGGACUUGUACUACCUGGAGGACGAAGGCCUGGCCCGCCAGCUGGUGGAGCUAGGCUACCGGGGAACGGGCGAGGUGGUGAAAAGGGAGGACUUCGAAGCAAGGAAGGCAGCUAUAGAGACUGCGAGACUGGCCGAGAGGACCCAGAAAAAGUAGGUGUCCGUAUUCUGAAGUCGGAUUGGAUGUUGUCGCGUCUCUGGAGCAGUCCCGUUGGUGGGCAGUGUUGUGUAGCCGCGGUGGUCGGAGCGGGUGGAAUUGGGCGGUUGUCGGCGUGAGUUCUGCCCAUCAGGAGCCCAGGGCCUGUGCUGUCGCUGCGAGACAGCACCUUGCAGCUUCAAGCUGCUGAUUGAAAAACAGACGGCGAACUCCGGUCAGGACGCACCCCUGGAGUCCUGUUCAGACACACCCCGGUGCUGUUGGCUGUACACGCUUAGAUACUAAAAACACGAGUGACUUCUGCCUAAGAACUCUUUGUACCUUUGAGGCCGGUGAAUCUUUGGCAUCAUUUACGUUCUCACGUCUUCAUAAACACUGAUUCUUUGAACUCGAUUCGUGAUCACUGGCUUUUGUUCAUGUGACUCAUAAGUGGUCCUAUAAAGUGUGAAUCCGAUAGACUGUGUUAAACUUAUAAGGAAAGAGAUGCACAUGUAAGGUGAACCAUAUCCAACUGAUACGGCAGUUGGAAGAAGAUUUAAAGUGAUUUACGUUUUAAACAUGAAUGCUAAAGCUGUGCAUGUUGGAGGGGACAAUUACUGAGAGUUUGGUGUGUUAGUCUUAGAUAGCGUUUUUAAAAAUGCCCACUAAUGAUGAGUAGAAGUCGCCCAUGUGUUUAUUAUGAAAAUAGUAUUCAGUAGUGGAAUGAGAGUUGGUUCUGGGAAUGUGCAAUUUUAAUGGAUCGUUCUAGUAGCUCCUUUAUUUCAAAACCACAGAAUAUUGGAAUUUAAUCUGCUGGCAUUCGGUCGUAUAUUUGCGUCCCAUUGCUGCCAUGAUACAUCACUCACAAACUUAGCGGCUUAACACGACACAAGCGCACUCACUCUCAGUUCUGCGGGUCAGAAGCCCGAGUACAGUGGCUCAGGUGGGUUCUCUGCUCAGCAUCUCAUAAAGCUGAAAUCCUCGUGUUGACUGGACCUGGUUCUUUUUGGAGGCUCUGAGGAUGAGCCUGUGUCCACACUCCUUCAGGCCAAAUUCAGGCACUUGUGAGUAUUGGCCUGAGGUCUUGUUUCCUGUCCCCAGUCAGACUGGGGACUUGUCUUUGCUCCUGUAGGCUGCCCACCUUCCUUCUCUGGUUUUCUGCGCAGCUGCCCUGCAGCAAGAGUGGGUCCAGGUCCCUCCCAACCUUGAAAUCCCUCUGACUGCUCCUUGUGCAGUGUCUGUCCUGGCUCCAGCCAGAGGAAGUUUCCUCUUUCUAAGGGCUCGUGUGAUCACAGUGGGUCCAUAUAGAUAAUCCAGGGUCGUCUCCCUUUUCUAAGGUCUGUUACCUUUAAUACAUCUGCAAACCCCUGUUGUCAGGUAAUACAACAUGGGAACAGGUUCUAAGGCUUAAGGCAUAGGCAUCCCUGAAGGGACUGUUCUUCUUGCCGAAGGGAAUUUAUAUACAACGUCGGUACUUUGUUCAACGCGGUUACACCCGAUUUCUAUUCAUAGGAAUUGAAGUGGCGCAGAGGACAUGUGUACAUGAGGUAUGUUUUCUGCAAAACGGCAGGGAGUCUUCUCUUUCUGUGGGUAUCAGUAAAUGUUUGUCAGGAGCAGAAGGAGAGAGAUUUUUGUGGGAUGUAUAAGGCAUUAAUGUAUUUUCAUAAUUGAUUAGAGAUGCAUCCUACUUUAUAUAAAGAGAACUUAGUCUUGUUUAAAGUGUAAGUUCUGUCCCUGUGCAUGUCCAUUUUGUGUUGGAGUCAAAAUGAGUAUUUACUCUCUGCAGAGUAAUGGCCAGAGCUAGACACCAUCAGACUUCGUAAGUGCCAGUCGUGGGAGACCUCAUCCCCAUCCAGAACUGCUGGCAUUGGGAGCAUUUUCAUCUGCGCAGCUUCUCAUCUGCCGUCUCAUCUGCCAUGCGUGCCAUCUGCCUUGGGCCCCAUACUUUUCCUCUCGCCUGUGGGGGAGUUGCUUUGUUCCCUUCCCUGCCAGCUCCUCAGAGUGUCACUGGCAGCAGGGCCAGUGGAGUGUGGACCCCAGAUCUGUCCUGUGCCCGUAUCUGCUUGAGGGUCGCUUUGAAAAUAUGCAUGAGCAUCUGCCUGCCUGCCAGUUGGUACCAACUCGGAAACACGGGAUUCUCGGUCAGAUUAGCUCACAUCCUCCUCUCUGCUGUGUGGGCGAGCGGCCCCAAGGGGGUCACAGCCCACUUUGCUAGCAAUCACGGAGCACCCAUUUCAAGGCGUGCCGGCACCUGAGAGUGGGGUCCUUCCUUAGAAUUGUUUCAUACCUGGUUAAAGAGAUUAGAAGGGGUGUUUUGAUAAGUAUUUGCCAGAAGAAGGCAUCAGGUGAAAACAGUUCUUUUGGCCUCUAGUUUAGCCACUGGCUUCGCAAAUACUCCCAGGCAACCGUGUUGCCUUAGGCGCUCUUCUGGGCGUGAGCAUAUGAUAGCACCAAAGAGUUGGUCCCUGCCCUUGGGAAGUUUGAGGGCUCGAUAGUAAGAGACAGCACGUUGCUGGUGGGACUAUACAAUGGAAAAUACUUUGACAGUUCUUCAAAUAGUUAAACGCAGAGUUACAUAUGACCCAGCAGUUCCACUCCUAGGCGUGUAACCCAGGGAAGUGAAGACGCAGGUGCACUUAAAACGUAGACACCAGUGCUCCUGGCAGCUUUAUUCCUGGCCGCCACUGAGCGGAAACACCCAGCUGUCUGCCAGCGGGUGAAUGGAUAAAAACGUGACACGGAGAUUCGGUGCAGUGUUCUCCGAUCACGAAAAGGAGUAAAGUAGCCUGCAAACACUCCUAGCAGAAGAAGGUAGACAAAAAGACUGCAAACGGUAUAGUCCCCUUUAUACAAAAUGUCCAGAAUAGGUAAAUCCCUAGAGGCACAGGUAGAUUUGCGGUUGCCCGGGGCUGGAAGGAAGGAUGCAGCAAGUGUGACGGCCACUGGCUGUGGGGUUCUUACCCGACGAGCAUCCGUGAGGAUGUGGGUUCGCGCUCCCUGACCUUGCUCCGCGGGGUACGGAUCCCGCGUUGCCCUGAGCUGUGGUGUAGGUCCUAGACGUGGCUCGGAUCUGGCGUGGCUGUGGCUGUGGCUGUGGUGGAGGCCGGUGGCUGCAGCUCCGAUUAGACCCCUAGCCGGGAACCUCCGUGUGCUGCGGGUGCGGCCCUAGAAGCCAGGAGGCCAAAAAAAGGGCGGUUACAACAGGCGGUAGCAGAUGCCGCAGUGGGGCUGUGGCCGCGUCCUGCAGUGGUGCGAAGUCACGAUUUGAGGGGUUGAAGGGCAGGGGAAGCGCGUCCGGAGGCGCGGCUGCCGGGUGAUCUUCGAAAGGGUGAGCGGGGGUCGGUCCGCGAACAAGGGUGUGGAGGUGGGCACGUCCCUUUGCCGCGGUUUCUUCCCGGCUCGUCCUUCUCUCGCGCUUUAUCUUGAUGUGCCCCGACUCCCUUGGCGAGACUCCCCGCCCGCCACAAGCUGGGCCAACUAGAGGCCUUUGCUCACUCUUACCCCCCUGGCGGCGGCGGGGGCUCUGCCUUCCCCCGCGGCUUCAAGCUCCGCUGCAAAGCCGGCUCGGCCUCGCUGUCACGCAGACGUCGGCUCUCGUCCCCGUUCCACUGAGAUUCACGCCAGCUGGGUUUGGUGGCCGCAAGGCAGAGACUGCAAAGCUUGGACAGAAGGGAUGAGAUUGGCUGCGUGUCCUCAGGGAGCGCCCACCCUCAGUCCUGGAGAGUCUCAUUUUCCAGGAGGAGUUCCGUCGAUGCCCACGGUGGUGGAGAGAGAAACCCUGGCACAAAGGUGAAACGCUGGGCGCUUAGGGCCGGUUAAUAAUUCUAACUGAUCCAUCACUGGGGCUGAACCCUCUUCUGAAGGAGCUUUUAAGAGCAUCUGCCUCCUUACUUGACUCGGCUUAUUUUUUUUUUCUUUGUCUUUUUGCCUUUUCUAGGGCUGCUCCCACAGCAUAUGAAGGUUCCCAGGCCAGGGGUCUAAUCGGAGCUGUAGCCGCCGGCCUACACCAGAGCCACAGCCACUUGGGAUCCAAGCCGUGUCUGCGUCCUACACCACAGCUCACAGCAACAGCGGAUCCUUAACCCAUCAGCAAGGCCGGGGAUUGAACCCACAACCUCAUGGUUCCUGGUCGGAUUCAUUAACCACUGGGCCACGACGGGAACUCUGAGUCAGCCUAUCUUUUGAAGAGAUGAAUUAGCUCUUCUUAAAACUGCUAUUGACAUAGUGACCUUAUUUACUGAAACACAGCAUCUGAGACAUAGAUGGAGUAAGCGGUACCCUUGGUGGAGCUGGUAUUUGUGCUGCUUGGCUAUUGCCGUCUCCUUGAGAGACUUUGUGAUGAGCCGUUGAGAGUUUCUGUACCGGGAGCUGGACAGGAGCCUCAGAUGCUGAAGAUAUAGGGAUCCCUGGGGUCUUCUUUGCCGAAACCAAAAGAUGAUUUAGGAGGUUUUCUUAUGUCCUUUUAUCAUCUGGUACAUCUGGGACUAAAUUUAAAAAGCUGGACGAGUCCCUUCCCUCCCUCUGUCUGUCUCCUCUUCCUCUCUCUCUCCCUCUCUCUUUUAUUUUUUUUUUGGUUUUUAGGGCUGCACCCUUGGCGUAUGGAAGUUCCCGGGCCAGGGGUCAAACCAGAGCUACAGCUGCCGGCCUCCACUACAGCCACAGCAACGCCAGAUCUGAGCCGUAUCUGUGACCUACCCCACAGCUCAAGGCAGCGCCAGAUCCUUAAGCCACUGCGCAGGGCCAGGGACGGGACCCACGUUCUCACAGAUACUAGGCGGGUUGGUGUCUGCUGGGCCGCGGGAACUCCUCUGCCUUUGGCUCAGCAGCAGUCCUGUUUCUUUUGCUGUUCAGCAGCAGUCACUCUUCACCAGAUGGUGUCCCUCCUUUCUGCCUCCCGGUCGCCGGGCACAGUGCUCACGUGGCAGCCGUGUUCAGAGGGGCAUCUCCCGAGCGGGCACAUGUUGUCUUACGUUUCGUCUCACGUUGCUGCUGCUGGUGGUGGGAGUUCGUGAGAUCCUAAUGGAGGGGAAUGGGCUGCCUCCUCAGCAGGGUCAGGAGGUCCAGGGGCUGGGGAGGUCGGAAUCUUCGAGAGCAUCUGCUCACGUGUCUCCAUCCUGUGGGCCAGGAUCCAGGGUUUCCUCACCAGGGCUCUGGUUUCGGGGGAGCCGACCCACGCCUGUUGGCCGUCCACCUGCCUCUGGACUUCAGCCGCUGCGCCAGUCCGGUCUGUGCUCCAUCCUCAUCUUCUGCCCUCCCGCUGCACGGGACGAGCACUGCUCUGGCUCUCGUGCUUUGUGGCAGUUAUUGGCUCAUCGCUCUUAGCUUUGCAUUAUUAAUCCAUAGGGCAGCGAUGCAAUUGAGCAAUAAUUACCUGAUUCCCUUGUUCUUGCGUUUAUCAUUCCCCGUACACUCCCAGUGCCCGAAUCAUCCCCUUGGCUAGGGCGUGCCACUCUGACUGCUAGCACCCCAGCUUAUCGCACGAGAACAUUUCACCAACUGGACGCCCACCUUGUGGGUUGUCUGCGUACCACCUGCCUCCACGGUCUUGAACCUCAUUACCAGAGGGCUUCCGCUGAGACCCCAGUUCCUAAACUCCAUCUCAGCACCUGUUUCUCAAGCUACUCCAAGUACAGUCUGUCACAGACUAACCUUUCUGGGAAGCAGGCACAGAGGUGACUUAAGAAUUCAAAAGGUUACACAUAAAGGAAAAGGGUGGAAGCAAGACUGGGUAGGCGGAGCUGUCAGACCUUCGUGCCCUCUUGGCAAAGUCUCUGCCGGGCCGGUGAAGAUCACAAAGCAACCACCACCUGUUGGAAGGGUCCUAUAUUUGGUGGAAAUAGUAGGUCUUUGAACCAUUGUCUUGCUCAGUGAUUUGUGGGGGACACCCCAAGGAGAACAUGACAUCUGCUCGGCUGCUGGGGCUGAGCAAGGCAGUUAACUAGAAGCUGCCUGCUGACCAUAUGCCUUGAAGCCAGGCAGCAAGUCCUUUUUUGUUACACUUUUAUAAUUCGUUUUUGAAAGUAAAAUUUAUUGAUGUUUUACAAGUGUUUAAUUUGAUGAGUUACGACAAACGUACCCGGUAGUGUGACCCCCACCACGAUCAGGAUAAGCACACUUCUAUUACCACCCACAGUUCCCCACGCCUCUUUGUAUUUAGGCUUUUCUCUCAGCCCCGACAACCACGCCCCUGAUUUCUGUACAUAGAGUUUUACCUUUUCCAAAAUGGCAUUUAGAUGGAUGGUAAAGUAUGCAGCCAUUUUUUUCUUCAUAAAUUAUGAGGCCUUUGAGACCAUAUGGUUGCAUGUAAGCUUGUCCUUGUUUAUUGCUGAGUAAUAUUCCAUUUUACAGAUGAGUGGACAGCAAUUUGUGUAUCUAUGCUUUCUCCAGUUGAUGAUGGUUGUUUUGAGUUUUAGGCCUCUCUGAUAAACUUGCUAUAAAUAUUCGCAAAUAGGCCUUUGUAAAGACGUAUAUUUCCAUUUAUCUUAGGUAAAUACCCAAGAUAGGAUCGCUGAUUCACAUGGUAGGCAUAUGUUUAUUAGAAAAUUUCAGGAGUUCCCGUCGUGGCACAGUGGUUAACGAAUCCAACUGGGAACCAUGAGGUUGAGGGUUCGAUCCCUGGCCUCGCUCAGUGGGUUAACGAUCCGGCGUUGCCGUGAGCUGUGGUGUAGGUUGCAGACGCGGCUCGGAUCCCGAGUUGCUGUGGCUCUGGUGUAGGCUGGCGGCUGUGGCUCCGAUUGGACCCCUGGCCUGGGAACCUCCAUAUGCCGCAGGAGCGGCCCUAGAAAAGGCAAAAAGACGGAAAAAAAAAAAAAAA
rnacentral:lncRNA from 1 species